rnacentral:sRNA from 1 species
GUAACCGAUAUUGGUGACAUUGUCCAGC